CGCAUUGUGCAUGCAUGCAUAUCAAUAAGCGGAGGAAAAGAAACUAACAAGGAUUCCCUUAGUAACGGCGAGUGAAGCGGGAAGAGCUCAAAUUUGAAAUCUUCAAGGCUUUUACCUUGACGAAUUGUAGUUUAAAGAAGUGUUUUCUGCUGAAGUUUUGGUAAAAGUUCUUUGGAAUAGGACAUCAUAGAGGGUGAGAAUCCCGUAUUUGACCAUUAUUUUCAUGCUUUGUGAUACACUUUCAAAGAGUCGGAUUGUUUGGGAAUGCAGUCCAAAAUGGGUGGUAAAUUUCAUCUAAAGCUAAAUAUUGGCGAGAGACCGAUAGCGAACAAGUACCGUGAGGGAAAGAUGAAAAGAACUUUGAAAAGAGAGUUAAACAGUACGUGAAAUUGUCAAAAGGGAAGCGUUUGACACCAGUGUUGUUUUCUCGAAAAUCAAUUAAAAAUGGCUCGAUUUUGUAUUGCUGAGACCUUAAAAGCUCACUGUACAUUUUUCGUGUCUUUUUUAAUGCACUUUUCGUUUAACAAGUCAACAUCAGUUUCUUUUGUUGUAAAAGGGUCAUUGGAAGGUGGCUUUCUUUUCGGAGAAAGUGUUUAUAGCCUUUGGCCUCUGCAAUCGGAGAGACUGAGGUCUGCAGCGUAGACUCUUCGGGGUUAGAUACAUUUGUGCUAAGUUAUAGCUUUUUAUAGACAACUUGUUGACUAUAAUUAGUCUUGUAGCUUACUCGCUUAUGCUAUUUUACCUACGCUUAGGAUGUUGACGCAUGAGAUAUACGC
rnacentral:rRNA from 1 species